rnacentral:rRNA from 1 species
UACAGAGGGUGCGAGCGUUUGUUCGGAAUUAUUGGGCGUAAAGGGACGCGUAGGCGGCGCCACAAGUCACUUGUGAAAACUCUGGGCUCAACUCAGAGCCUGCAAGCGAAACUGUGGUGCUGGAGUAUGGGAGAGGUGCGUGGAAUUCCCGGUGUAGCGGUGAAAUGCGUAGAGAUCGUAAGGAAGACCAGUGGCGAAGGCGAGUUUCUGGACGGUAACUGACGCUGAGGCACGAAGGCCAGGGGGAGCAAACGGG